rnacentral:misc_RNA from 1 species
UGGCUCUCGCAUCGAUGAAGAACGCAGCAAAGCGCGAAAUGUAAUGUGAAUUGCAGAAUUCAGUGAAUCAUCGAAUCUUUGAACGCACCUUGCGCUCUUGGGUCAUUCCUAGGAGCAUGCUUGUUUGAGUGUCGCGUACCUUCUCAACCCCGCCUUUUUUAACCGAAAGGCUGUCAGGGUUGGAUCUUGACGCUUUUGCCUUUUUGAUUAAAGGCUGCGUUGAAAUGCAACAAGUCCUUGAAACUUUGCGGCUUGACCCGUUGUCAUAAUCCUUUUCAAUGGGGACGCAUCGUAAUAAGGUGGGCUUACCAAAUUGUGCAGCCUUGUAACCGAGGCUCCAUCUUUUGACUUUGACCUCAAAUCAAGUAGGACUACCCGCUGA